CACGUAGGCACCAAGCGUUGUCCGGAUUUAUUGGGCGUAAAGAGCUCGUAGGCGGUUCAGUCAGUCGGCUGUGAAAACUCUGGGCUCAACCCAGAGAUUGCACUCGAUACUGCUGUGACUUGAGUACGGUAGGGGAGCGGGGAAUUCCUAGUGUAGCGGUGAAAUGCGCAGAUAUUAGGAGGAACACCAGUGGCGAAGGCGCCGCUCUGGGCCGUAACUGACGCUGAGGAGCGAAAGCGUGGGGAGCAAACAGG
rnacentral:rRNA from 1 species